rnacentral:tRNA from 1 species
GCAUUGGUGGUUCAGUGGUAGAAUACUCACCUUCUAUGCGGGAGACCUGGGUUUGAUUCCUGGCCAGUGCA